CCGAUUGCCCCAUUCCUGGUUGUCCCGGUAGGCCCGGUCCCCCCAGGCUGUCCCGGUCCCAGUGUCCGCAGGCCCGGUCCCCCCGGGCCAUCCCGGUCUCGGUGGCCCCAGUUCCCCCGGGCUGCCUGCAGGCCCGGCUGUCCCGGUCCCGGCAGUCCCCUUUCUCCCAGGCUGUCCUGGUCCCGGUAUCCCGGUCCCGGCUGUCCCGGUCCCGGUAGGCCCGGUUCCCCCAGGCUGUCCCGGUAGGCCCGGUCCCCCCGGGCUGUCCCGGUCCCGGUGCCCCGGCCCGGCCCCACGUGCUCCCGCCGCCGCCGCCGGAGUAAACACUGCGCGUGUCGCCAUGGCGACGGCGUUCCAUGCCCCUGA